GCUUUGCUGGCUCACUGGUAGAGCAUGUGACUCUUGAUCUCAAGGUCAUGAGUUGAAGCCCCAUGAUGGGCA
rnacentral:tRNA from 1 species